GAUGAACGCUGACAGAAUGCUUAACACAUGCAAGUCAACUUGAACUUCGGUUUGGGUGGCGGACGGGUGAGUAACGCGUAAAGAACUUGCCUCACAGCUAGGGACAACAUUUGGAAACGAAUGCUAAUACCUGAUAUUAUGAUUAUAUGGCAUCGUAUAAUUAUGAAAGCUAUAUGCGCUGUGAGAGAGCUUUGCGUCCCAUUAGCUAGUUGGAGAGGUAACAGCUCACCAAGGCGAUGAUGGGUAGCCGGCCUGAGAGGGUGAUUGGCCACAAGGGGACUGAGACACGGCCCUUACUCCUACGGGAGGCAGCAGUGGGGAAUAUUGGACAGUGGACCGAGAGUCUGAUCCAGCAAUUCUGUGUGCACGAUGAAGUUUUUCGGAAUGUAAAGUGCUUUCAGUUGGGAAGAAAAAAAUGACGGUACCAACAGAAGAAGUGACGGCUAAAUACGUG
rnacentral:rRNA from 1 species